UCCGCAAUGGGCGAAAGCCUGACGGAGCGACGCCGCGUGCGGGAUGAGGGCCUUCGGGUUGUAAACCGCUGUCAGUUGGGAGGAAAUCUAUGGGGGUUCUCCCCCAUAGUUGACCUAUCUUCAGAGGAAGGACGGGCUAAGUUCGUGCCAGCAGCCGCGGUAAGACGAACCGUCCAAACGUUAUUCGGAAUCACUGGGCUUAAAGGGUGCGUAGGCAAACAAAACAAGUUGGGUGUGAAAUCCCUCGGCUCAACCGAGGAACUGCGCUCAAAACUGCCAAGCUAGAGGAAGAUAGAGGUGAGCGGAACUAAUGGUGGAGCGGUGAAAUGCGUUGAUAUCAUUAGGAACACCUGCGGCGAAAGCGGCUCACUGGGUCUUUUCUGACGCUGAGGCACGAAAGCUAGGGUAGCGAACGGGAUUAGAUACCCCGGUAGUCCUAGCUGUAAACGAUGAGCACUAGGUUGGAGGCUCCUCCAUAGGUUUCCGACCGAAGCGAAAGUGUUAAGUGCUCCGCCUGGGGAGUUUUUUCAGGAAGGCUGAAACUCAAAGGAA
rnacentral:rRNA from 1 species